rnacentral:rRNA from 1 species
AUGAGUAGGGCGGGACACGUGGUAUCCUGUCUGAAUAUGGGGGGACCAUCCUCCAAGGCUAAAUACUCCUGACUGACCGAUAGUGAACCAGUACCGUGAGGGAAAGGCGAAAAGAACCCCGGCGAGGGGAGUGAAAAAGAACCUGAAACCGUGUACGUACAAGCAGUGGGAGCCCCACCACUAAGCCAGUGGUGAACUCCACAUACGCAUCCUUUGCUGAGGAUACGGUUAACGGAGCGCAAGCGACGUUCAACCGCAAAAGAAGCAGAGGGGGCUUAGUGGUGGGGUGACUGCGUACCUUUUGUAUAAUGGGUCAGCGACUUAUAUUCUGUAGCAAGGUUAACCGUAUAGGGGAGCCG